rnacentral:snRNA from 1 species
GGAUGUGAGGGUGACCUGACUGCAACGCCCCUUGAUCACCAAGGCUGGUUUGGCUGAUCUGGCUGGCCAGGGGCUUCCCAUUCCUCCCUCAUCAGCCAUGUGUGUUUCUCCAAAACUGCACAUUCGGUAGAAGGGGACCACCUACCCCGAUGGAAUAUCAUUAUUAUUCAGUUAAGUGUAUCUGAGUAGCUGCACUCUCCUACCAAAAUGUCCCAGCAGCUUCUCAAACUUGUUGCAACAGUGGGAGUUCUAGUUUCUCUUUGUCAACAGUU